rnacentral:lncRNA from 1 species
GGCAGCAGAAAUGUACUCCUACAUUAACGAUAACCACUAGUUUCAAAUACAAAGACAUGAUGUAGCAAAUAAAGGAACCACCCAAAACCAUAACAGAAACUUUAAGUCAUUUUGACUUUUUUUAAUUAAUACUCCCUCCGUCCAUCUAUGGAAGAUAUAUUUGGGUGCGACGCGAUGACCAAGGAGACUAAGCGCAUGCACGAUCGCCCCUUAAUUAGCCGUGUCCAUUUACUCCGCAUGCGGCUGUUGGAUUACCGAGCAUUUAUUCCGCUAAACUCUCCACAAACGCCGUUUGCGCGCUGAGCUUUCCUUUUCCCCAUGCGAACUUUACGAGGAGGCCGCCUCGCGUACGAUGAGCUCCGAUGCCUGGGAAACCGGCCCGUACACAAUAUAUCUCCAAUUUUUGGAAAAAUUUUUUUUGGUAAUAUAUCUCCGAUAGAUGGACGGAGGGAGUACUAUAUACAUACUCCUUCCGUUCCAAAGUUAUUCUGGCUUUUACUGCCUGACCGGUGUUACUGCCUGCAAAAACAAUGGGAAAAACAUCUGGAAAUUAGAACCAGGCUAAUACUACCAGUACAAUACAACUACAAAAGAGGAACUGCAUAAGCAGGAAAAAUGGAUCUGCCG